GUACUAAUGAACAAGGGCUUAGGAGUCAGGAGGCGGGGUUCAAAUCCUUGCUCAGCUACUAUGUGACCUUGGCCAACUUCCUUCCAUGGCUCUCCAUUUCCUCAUCUAUCAAACAAAGAUUGUACAAACAAGUCCAACAAACCCACCAUUAUGCCCAUCCUGGCCCAUGAAAGCAAGCCCUCUGCUCUAGCCAAAAUUGGAAUCAUCAGCCUGAGACCCUGCUCCCCCUCCUAUGGCCCUAUCCUAUCCUGAUCAGACUGCACUAGAAUUCUCCCUGGUUCUGAGCUCUGCACUUCUUACCCUGUCCCGGAUGACUGCUCUUCCACCCCCUGAUUUCUCCGUCCUCCUGAUUUUCCUGAGGAGAUGGACCAGCUCUUUGGAGCUGGGGUAUGGGAUCCUCUCUGGCAGCGUGCUGCAGGACAAAGGUGGCUUCAACAGAAGUGCAGUUUAUGGAGCACCUCCCCCCGCCCAGGAACCACAUCACCUCCUGGAGGGUUUGGACUGUGGACCAGCACAGGCUCAGGUCAAAGAAUGACCUAGAGACACAAGGAGGCCAUGUGGAUGCAAUGUCUGCCGAAGACUCCCUCCUGUCGUGCCAGCUUGUGUUCCAGAAAGAAAGCGGGAGCCCAAGCCAGCAUUUACCCAUGUGGGUCAACUUCCAAUAAGCACAUCAAAGCACCUGAAAAUAUACCCCAGACAGAUCUUUGGGACUGACACAGGAGAACCACCCCAGAAUGUUAUUGAAAACAUUGCCAAUAAAAGUGAUGAACCACUUCUGCAAGUGACCCAAGACUAAAACUUUUUUUUUUCUUCUUUGCCUAGAACGGCAUCCCCUUCAUCUGUCUUAUAUUGUAAUCAGAUACAACCUUGAUAGAAUGAAAGCAGAGGUCACACUGAACAAACUGGCACUUUACGUGCUCAGAAAAAGGUUCCUUUGUAACAGGGAAAUUAUAGCAUUUCUAUAGAGGGAUUUUUCUUAAAAGGACAGGCUGCUUUGUUCAAAUGGUGCUGAUUUCAGCGCUCUGAGGAGAGGGCCCUUUCAGAGUGUCGACCUGCUGAAAUUUGUGGGGUUCCUUUUGUUUGUAGAAAGCUGAAUAUGUUAUGGGAGGGGGAAUGUAUUAAAAUAGAAAUUGUAAGCCGUUUGACUAGGCGAGGUUUUGAUUGUCCAGAAACAUCAGACCAUUUUAUAUUUUGCUUAUACAGCGUCAGAUAUCAUAGGAGCACCGUGUGAAACACGGUUUAACAGAUCUCUGUGGGUCCUGAGUUAUACUUUCUGUCCAUAGCAUGUUGAUUCCCUUGGGAGGAGAGCUGACAUUUUUUAGCAAUGGGAAUCCAGAUCACAGCAUUAGACGUACGUUUAAAAGGACAAACGACAACAAAGCAAAACUCUUGAGUUUGGAUGAUGUUCGGGAAGAAAGGAAAUCUAACUUGGACCUGUGGUACUCUGCGAUCUGCUGGAGCCAGGCCAAACUCCAGGAAAUCACAUUGCAUAGCAGAGUGUGAACACAGGAAAUGCGUUUGAGCUAAAAAACAAGGUUUUGUGUCAAUCGAAAUGCCAGGCAUGUCAUGUCUCAACAUGUAAUGUUAUCAAAAAUUAAGCAAAGUGUUUCAUUUUCCCGGUGUCAAUUUUAACACUUAACAAUAUUUUUGGCAUGGCAAUUACUGUUUUCAUUCCAUUAGGCCUUCUGUGAGUGGGAAUGUUUUGUCUGCAAUCCUAAUAAUCGUACUUUUUAUGAGCAUAUGUAUUGCUUCAUUAAACCUGAUUGUUUAUAACUAAUAAUAAAACUUUUACCAAACCUACUAAACUCUAUAUUUACGCCAUAAGUGCUUGCUUUCCCCACCUCAAGAUAUGUCACGCAUAUGAAAUCAGUACUACCAUUUU
rnacentral:lncRNA from 1 species